ensembl:miRNA Mir136 microRNA 136
GAGGACUCCAUUUGUUUUGAUGAUGGAUUCUUAAGCUCCAUCAUCGUCUCAAAUGAGUCUUC